rnacentral:lncRNA from 1 species
UGCAUCCUGUGUAAAUACUGGGGUUCUUGUCUCAGAAGCACAGGGUAUCAUGGAAAUGGAGUUGAAAGCUGGGGAACUGAUGGAACGUCUCCAUGAGGAGCAACUAACUGGAGCCAUGGGUUGGUACCAAGAUGUUCCCUCUGCCUUCUACUUUCGAUAGAAACUAAGCCAGUAUGGCAUGGGGCUCUGAAAAUGGGCUGAGGGGAACAUCGGCAGCCUCCACUAACCCCCUGCCCCUACCCUGUUCCUGAAGUCCCAGGCAGUUAAGACGUCCACAGUGAACGGCACUUAAUCAAAACAAAAGUUCAGACACAGUGAAAAUUCAGGAAUAUAAGAUAAUGUAAAACACUAUCAGAAAAAUGAGGCAAAGAAUGAUAUAAAAAAGGUAAUAGGAUGUUCAAGUCUUUGAGGAAGAUUUCCAGGUUGAAACCAAGCCAUAGCUUUUAGUAUAUUUUCAUUUUAGGUUAGGCAAGAAAGUUAGCGAACUUUGUCCUCAAACCUAGGACCAUUUAAAAAAGUGACAAUAAAGAAGACUAAGAAAUCAUGAAGAGAG